CUGGAGUGCGAUGGCAUGAUCUCGGCUCACUGCAACCUCUGCCUCCCAGGUUCAAGCGUUUCUCCUGCCUCACCCUCCCAAGUAGCUGGGAUUGCAGGCAUGCACCACUGUGCCCAGGAAGCUGAGAGUGCUGAGGGCACAUCUGAAACCACUGGAGGUUGGCGACAUGGAGGUCAGCCACCCUGUGUGCACUCUAUCUAAGUGACAACGGUUUUGAAAUCCUGCCACCAGAUAUUGGGAAGCUCACAAAGUUGCAGAUAGUAACUCAGCAAUAGGGAUAAAGACCUGAUCUCACUGCUUAAGGAAAUUGGGGAGCUUACCCAGCUUAAAGAGCUCCACAUUCAGAGGAACCGCCUCACUGUUCUACGCCCAGAACUAGCAGGAGAAAAAAAGAACGAUAGAG
rnacentral:lncRNA from 10 species